GCUUGAAGAUGGACUCGCGUCCGAUUAGUUAGUUGGUGAGGUAACGGCUCACCAAGACCGCGAUCGGUAGCCGGACUGAGAGGUUGAACGGCCACAUUGGGACUGAGACACGGCCCAGACUCCUACGGGAGGCAGCAGUGGGGGAUAUUGCGCAAUGGGGGCAACCCUGACGCAGCAACGCCGCGUGAAGGAUGAAGGUUUUCGGAUUGUAAACUUCUUUUAUUAAGGACGAAACUUGACGGUACUUAAUGAAUAAGCUCCGGCUAACUACGUGCCAGCAGCCGCGGUAAUACGUAGGGAGCAAGCGUUGUCUGGAUUUACUGGGUGUAAAGGGUGCGUAGGCGGCUUUGCAAGUCAGAUGUGAAAUCUAUGGGCUCAACCCAUAAACUGCAUUUGAAACUGUAGAGCUUGAGUGAAGUAGAGGCAGGCGGAAUUCCCCGUGUAGCGGUGAAAUGCGUAGAGAUGGGGAGGAACACCAGUGGCGAAGGCGGCCUGCUGGGCUUUAACUGACGCUGAGGCACGAAAGCGUGGGUAGCAAACAGGAUUAGAUACCCUGGUAGUCCACGCUGUAAACGAUGAUUACUAGGUGGGGGGGGUUUGCCCCCUUCCGUGCCGGAGGUAACACAAAAAAGUAAUCCACCUGGGGAGUAGGGCGGCAAGGUGGAAAAUCAAAGGAAUUGACGGGGGGCCGCACAAGCAGUGGAGUAUGUGGUUUAAUUUGAAGCAACGCGAAGAACCUUACCAGGUCUUGACAUCCAACUAACGAAGUAGAGAUACAUUUAGGUGCCCUUCGGGGAAAGUUGAGACAGGUGGUGCAUGGUUGUCGUCAGCUCGUGUCGUGAGAUGUUGGGUUAAGUCCCGCAACGAGCGCAACCCUUGCUAUUAGUUGCUACGCAAGAGCACUCUAAUAGGACUGCCGUUGACAAAACGGAGGAAGGUGGGGAGGACGUCAAAUCAUCAUGCCCCUUAUGACCUGGGCUACACACGUACUACAAUGGAUGUUAACAGAGGGAAGCAAGACAGCGAUGUGGAGCAAACCCCUAAAAACAUUCUCAGUUCAGAUUGCAGGCUGCAACCCGCCUGCAUGAAGAUGGAAUUGCUAGUAAUCGCGGAUCAGCAUGCCGCGGUGAAUAAAUUCCCGGGCCUUGCACU
rnacentral:rRNA from 1 species